AGCGAACGCUGGCGGCAUGCCUAACACAUGCAAGUCGCACGGGGGGGCUUCGGCCUCCCAGUGGCGGACGGGUGAGGAACGCGUAGGGACCUGUCGAGGGGUGGGGGAUAGCCGCGGGAAACUGCGGCUAAUACCGCAUGACGCCGCGGCGUGACAGCCGGGGCCAAAGGCGAAAGCCGCCCGCCGAGGGGCCUGCGUCCGAUUAGCUGGUUGGCGGGGUAGCGGCCCACCAAGGCGUCGAUCGGUAGCUGGUCUGAGAGGGUGAUCAGCCACACCGGGACUGAGACACGGCCCGGACUCCUACGGGAGGCAGCAGUGGGGAAUAUUGGACAAUGGGCGCAAGCCUGAUCCAGCAAUGCCGCGUGGGUGAAGAAGGUCUUCGGAUUGUAAAGCCCUUUCGGCGGGGACGAUGGUGACGGUACCCGCAGAAGAAGCCCCGGCUAACUUCGUG
rnacentral:rRNA from 1 species